GGUACCUCCGUUAAAGGAUGCUCCUAGCGCUUCCUGAGGACUCCAAACACUGCAGCAGACACCACAACCACCGAACCACCGGAGAAGCAUAUGAAUCCUCUCAAGCAUAUGAAUGCUGUAGACAGUUGAAUAGGAACCAUACGAAUAGGUUUACUCUCCUAGAAGUCAAACUGGAACAGCAUACAAUAAAUCCUUCCCCCAAUAAUGAGACGACACUUCACUUUGAGGGUUAAAACAGGAACUCCUGUACUGUCACAUACAGUCUCUUUUAUUCCCAAUCCACAAACAUAGUACAGCCCACAGGGCGUUACAAAACAAC